rnacentral:rRNA from 1 species
UUCGUAGGUGGCCGGCUAAGUCGGACGUGAAAUCCCUCAGCUUAACUGGGGAACUGCGUCUGAGACUGGUCGGCUUGAGUGCAGGAGAGGAACGCGGAAUUCCAGGUGUAGCGGUGAAAUGCGUAGAUAUCUGGAGGAACACCGGUGGCGAAGGCGGCGUUCUGGACUGCAACUGACACUGAGGAACGAAAGCCAGGGGAAGCAAACG